UCAAAUGAUAAAAAAAUCAACCGUGUUAAAAUAUAUUAUAUUUUCUUAAAUAGUACAAAUUUUUACGAUGCAUUUAUAAUGACAAAAAAACAACUAGUUCAUAUGACGACUACGAUAAUUAUUGUAUGAUGGUAGGUCGUCUGAAGUCAUAAAAAGCUUAUCGGUAUGCUAAGAAAUAAUUGUUUUAUCAUUUGUCUAUAGAGCUGGAAUGUGACCCGAGGAACAUUAAAUUGACAUGUUAUUUUUAUAUUUCUCCAUGGACACUGAUCCAUAGACUGAUUUUGAAAAACAUCUGGUUUUUUUAAUGAUAAUGCCGUCCGGUGGUUGUCCGUGGAACGCUGCGCGUUGAUUGCUGCCCACGAACCGCGUGAGAUCAUUAAUUCCUGUUACCAGUCCGACGAUUUGAUUUAAUCUCAAGUUCAUAAAUCCGUUGGAACACACAACCAUCGCUGCCGGAGCAUAACCCGUCUCCGUCCACGCGCAUCCUAUGUGUAAGAAUUUUCUCUCCUUAAAACUUAUCGUAACCGCUUUGACCGCCAAGAGUUUCGUUUUCAGUUAGGUAUACUACUUAUAUUGACCAAAAAUUUAAUCAUAUUUUUUAAUCAUUUGAAUAACUAUUACUGAACAAAUUCAUAUUGUUUAGUUUGGUUUAUUUAAAAAUAUAUAUAUCCAGAGUAGCUUAAUAUAAACUAAUUUCUGUAAAGUAUUAAGUGAAUAAUAAUUAUUUAAAAAACCUACUAAUAGAUUAUAAAUAACAUUCAGUCUUACAAGGUAUUUUAAUACCGUCAGUUAAAUACAUUAUUUGGUAUUGAAUACUAUUUUUGAUAAUUCGUUAUUAAUUAUUUAAUUAUUAUAUAUAAACAUUUUGUAUGGCACGGGAUAAUAUUUAGUUAUAGUUUUCCUUUUUUUUUUAAAUUCAGUAAGACAAUCAGACUGAUUUGAUAAUCUCACCAACAUAUGAGCAAGUUUGCAUUAAAUUACAUUAAGUAUAUAUUUAUUAAGUAUGACGUUUAUACAAUUACGACCCUAGUUUGAUCAUAUUUAUUAAUAUAACAGAAUUGUUUAAUCUAGUUUACAGUAAUUUUAUAGUAUGCCAUAUUCUUAUUAUCCCAUGCAACAAUUUUUUUUCUCUUCACAAGUCUUUAUCCGGCAAUAGGUUCACUUUGGACUAUCUACUUAUAAUGUAUAUAUUGAUUUGUGUGGAAACUUGAAAAUUAAAUAUAUGUUUUAUUCUAGUUAUUUAUGUUAGGUAUUAUAACUACAAUAGUGUCAUAUGUUCCGUUUUCCUUGCUCUAUUAUAUCCUUUAGGUACUAAAUUUUGUUAAUAAUAUAUCUUCUAAAAGACAAAGCUCAUAAAAUCCUACUUGUAUUCAUUAACUACAGAAUACAGAUGUAAGAUGUGGUAAAACUAAUUUAUACUUGACAGCCAAAUUUUGCAAUCGUCAAUGAGUUAAGGUAAAAAGUAAAAUUUUUUUAUUUAAAUAGUAAUAUAAAACAUU